rnacentral:miRNA from 1 species
UUCUCAUUUUAUGUUGUCUGAA